GACGAACGCUGGCGGCGUGCUUAACACAUGCAAGUCGAACGGAAAGGCCCCUUUGGGGGUACUCGAGUGGCGAACGGGUGAGUAACACGUGAGUAACCUGCCCCUGCCUUCGGGAUAACUUCAGGAAACUGGGGCCAAUACCGGAUAGGAAUCCUUGCUGCAUGGUGGGGGUUGGAAAGCUUCGGCGGGUUUGGAUGGACUCGCGGCUUAUCAGCUUGUUGGUGGGGUAGUGGCUUACCAGGGCUUUGACGGGUAGCCGGCCUGAGUGGGCGACCGGCCACAUUGGGACUGAACUACGGCCCAGACUCCUACGGGAGGCAGCAGUGGGGAAUGUUGCACAAUGGGCGGAAGCCUGAGGCAGCAACGCCGCGUGCGGGAAGACGGCCUUCGGGUUGUAAACCGCUUUCAGCAGGGGCGAAGCUUGUGGUGACGGUACCUGCAGAAGAAGCACCGGCUAACUACGUG
rnacentral:rRNA from 1 species